CUAGUCGGAUUUGUUUCCACAGCGCCACGAGGGGAACUCUCCAUAUGCCACGGGUGCAGCCCUAGAAAAGGCAAAAAGACAAAAAAGAGAGAGAGAGAAGUGAUAUCCGCACGUGGGACAGCCUGGCGUGGGUGCUGUUCGGGUGGAAGGUCGGCAGGCAGGAGCCUGUUGGGGGUCCUCUCAGCAAGGAGAGCCAGGUGGACGCCUGGGUCCUGGCUUCACUGUAGGUGCGUUGACCUGCAGUGCUUCCACCCAUCGCUAGACUGGCCAGGAGUGGACUGACCCGACAGCUGGGACCCCGCCACGCACUCGCCUUUCACGCCCCAUCAAAACCACGUGUGGAUGUGCUACUCUGAUCAUUUGAUUUAAUGGACGGGAUUUCUCUCUUUGGACCAUUAAAAGCUGCAGAUUAGUAUUUGUUGGAGACAGAUUCUUAAGUAAAAGAGCCUCGCUCAGUUUGUUGUCUCCAGUGCGUUGGCCUGCUUGGUGGGACUGGGCCUCAGCGAGGCUCUAGCCUCUGGCUCUGGUACGUCCCCCCUGGGACUGAGCCCCUUGCGUGUAGAGGGUUUUGUGUUUUAAAUCCUGAAACAUCACUGGUCUGUGUCCCCAGCUGAGACGCUGAGACCCUUCAAAUCCAGGGUCGGGUUUAAAACCGUGACUCUGUGAUUGCCAUACACAGGCUUCCUGGCUCCGGAACCAUGUGUGUCUUAGGGGCAAGAAUUUGGGGUGUUUUUCCCCGGUCAGGUGAGUCGAUCUUGCUAGUGCUGGCUCUCCUGAUCUUGACCUUGCCUCACCCGGCCGCGGUGUCCGCCUUAUCGAGCACAGGCGGCGUUUUGCGUCAAAGGGCAGGUACCCUCCCUGGCAGCUUCACUAGGCAAAGUGACCCACACCCUCUUUCUUGACAGGGAGUUCUUGAUCCUCCCGGGAUGACCUUUGAAGGUUCUUUCCAACCCUGCUAUUUUAUGGCCUGGUUUCUAAAUCCCCAGUGGAUUAGAGGGACGGAAGGACUUUUAUAGGAUAACAGCCAGAAGAACAAAGUGACUGCAAAAUACACGGAGAACUCGGUCACCCUAGAGAGCUCUGAAGCCCCCAGGCCCACGUUCUUUCUCACACCACACACGGUACUGCAGGCCCCUUUUCCUCCUGGCUCAGCGGAGAUUAGCAAGAGGAGCGAGGGGGAGAUUACUCCCCACGCGAGAGUUUUACUUCACAUGGUUACUUGGGAAAGUCUCGGCACUUGAGGGCUCAUUCCCUCGGGCCCCUGGAGAAGUGAGACGCUCUCAGUGGUCUAGGGUUUACUGCAGUGCGUUUUGCUGAAACGAAUGGCCUGAUGGAAGGGCUUCUUGCGCCGUCUUUCCCUUGAGGAAUUUGCCGAAGUCCUGGUAUUCGUAACUGAAGCGUGAGCAGUAGUAGUUUCACCUUAUCUGGGUGCGAGGCGAAAGGAUCUGGGUUGUGGGACGCAGAUGAGUGAUUUUUCUCUGGUUUUCUCCUUGUUCCCUCUCGCUUCCUGUCCCACCCCAGCAAAAGCUGGCAGGCUGACAGAGGCGGCCUCAGGACGGACCUUCUGGCUAUUGACCAUUUUGCUGGUAAGUCUGUCCUGUCAAGGGGGCUGUGGUUUGAGACCCGGAGUCUCACGGAGCACCCCCGCCCCUCGGGUGGGGCCGGGGGUGGGCUGCGAAGCUGCCCAACCGCUCCCCUGCCGUCUCGCUGCUGCUGUGUUCACAGCAGAGCCGGAGCUGCUCUCCAGCGGCCCUUGGUAGCUCCCGUCAGCACCAGGGGCGCCCGGGUGAACAGACGGACCGCGUACCCACAUGGCCUCAGUAGGAGCGGCCCCACGGCGUCUGCGUCUGGGGCUGGGUCAGGCCGGGAGGGCUUCAGUGGGGCCCUGGGGUGGGACUGCGUCUCCGGGGCCCUGGGCAUCCCGGUACUCUCCGCUGGAGCCUUUGUCUCCUUGGCGACGGCAGCUUUUCAGGGGCAGCUGUCCAGGGAUUUCUCCUCUUCACCACUCGGUGAGAGUUUGGGAAGCCCCUUGGGUCUGAAGGUGCAAGGGAGGGAAUGAGGUGGCACCUGCUGGUGGAGCAGGGUGGACGCUUGGCUGAAGCUCUCACCCGCGCCCGCCCUGGCAGCGCCGGCCGCCUGUGUGCCAUCUCCCUCUCCGCCUCCUCCCUCCGCUGCAGUGGCUCACCCGGACCGUGUGGAGGCGCGAGAUCAACCAUGAGCUCCGUUGCAGUUUUGACCCAAGAGAGCUUUGCUGAGCACCGCAGUGGACUCAUUCCGCAGCAGAUAAGAGUUGCCACUUUAAAUUCAGAAGAGGAGAGCGACCCUCCAACCUACAAGGAUGCCUUCCCCCCGCUCCCCGAGAAAGCAGCUUGCUUGGAAAACCCCCAGGAACCUGCCGGCGCCUGGAGCAACAAAAUCCGGCCCAUCAAGGCGUCCGUCAUCACUCAGGUGUUCCACGUACCCCUGGAGGAGAGGAAGUACAAGGACAUGAACCAGUUUGGAGAAGGUGAACAAGCCAAAAUCUGCCUCGAGAUCAUGCAGAGGACCGGCGCUCACCUGGAGCUGUCCCUCGCCAAAGACCAGGGCCUCUCCAUCAUGGUUUCUGGGAAGCUGGACGCCGUCAUGAAGGCCCGGAAGGACAUUGUCGCUCGGCUGCAGACUCAGGCCUCCGCCACCGUUGCCAUCCCCAAAGAGCACCAUCGCUUUGUCAUCGGCAAAAACGGAGAGAAACUGCAGGACUUGGAGCUCAAAACCGCAACCAAAAUCCAGAUCCCACGCCCCGAUGACGCCAGCAAUCAGAUCAGGAUCACCGGCACCAAAGAGGGCAUCGAGAAGGCUCGCCACGAGGUCCUGCUCAUCUCCGCGGAGCAGGACAAACGUGCGGUGGAGCGGCUCGAGGUGGAGAAGGCCUUCCACCCCUUCAUCGCGGGGCCCUACAACCGGCUGGUCAGCGAGAUCAUGCAGGAGACGGGCACACGCAUCAACAUCCCGCCGCCCAGCGUCAACCGCACCGAGAUCGUCUUCACGGGCGAGAAGGAGCAGCUGGCGCAGGCCGUGGCUCGCAUCCGCAAGAUCUACGAGGAGAAGAAAAAGAAGACCACCACCAUCGCGGUCGAGGUGAAGAAGUCCCAGCACAAGUACGUCAUCGGCCCCAAGGGCAACUCCUUGCAAGAGAUUCUGGAAAGAACCGGCGUUUCUGUGGAGAUCCCACCUUCAGACAGCGCCUCCGAGACUGUGAUCCUUCGAGGCGAGCCCGAGAAGCUGGGGCAGGCGUUGACAGAGGUCUAUGCCAAGGCCAACAGCUUCACGGUCUCCUCCGUCUCGGCUCCUUCCUGGCUUCACCGUUUCAUCAUUGGCAAGAAGGGUCAGAACCUGGCCAAAAUCACCCAGCAGAUGCCCAAGGUUCACGUUGAGUUCACAGAAGGCGAGGACAGGAUCACCCUGGAAGGCCCCACGGAGGACGUCAGCGCGGCCCAGGAGCAGAUCGAAGCCAUGGUCAAGGACUUGGUGAGCCGGAUGGACUACGUGGAGAUCAGCAUCGACCACAAGUUCCACAGACACCUCAUCGGGAAGAGCGGGGCCAACAUAAACAGGAUCAAGGACCAGUACAAGGUGUCGGUGCGCAUACCCCCCGACAGCGAGAGGAGCAGCCUGAUCCGCAUCGAGGGCGACCCGCAGGGCGUGCAGCAGGCCAAGCGCGAGCUGCUGGAGCUCGCCUCCCGCAUGGAGAACGAGCGCACCAAGGAUCUGAUCAUCGAGCAGAGGUUCCAUCGCACCAUCAUCGGGCAGAAGGGGGAGCGGAUCCGAGAGAUUCGGGACAAAUUCCCGGAGGUUAUCAUCAACUUUCCAGACCCAGCCCAGAAAAGCGAUAUUGUUCAACUCAGGGGGCCCAAGAACGAGGUGGAAAAAUGCACGAAAUACAUGCAGAAGAUGGUGGCAGAUCUGGUGGAAAACAGCUAUUCGAUUUCUGUUCCGAUCUUCAAGCAGUUUCACAAGAACAUCAUCGGGAAAGGAGGGGCCAACAUUAAGAAGAUUCGAGAAGAGAGCAACACCAAGAUCGACCUCCCCGCCGAGAACAGCAACUCAGAGACCAUUGUCAUCACAGGCAAGCGAGCCAACUGCGAGGCUGCCCGGAGCCGCAUUCUGUCCAUCCAGAAAGACCUGGCCAACAUCGCCGAGGUGGAGGUCGCCAUCCCUGCCCGGCUGCACAACGCCCUCAUCGGCACCAAGGGCCGGCUCAUCCGCUCCAUCAUGGAGGAGUGCGGCGGCGUCCACAUCCACUUCCCCGUGGAAGGCUCCGGGAGCGACACCGUGGUCAUCAGGGGCCCUUCCUCCGACGUGGAGAAGGCCCGCAAGCAGCUCCUGCACCUGGCGGAGGAGAAGCAAACCAAGAGCUUCACCGUCGACAUCCGAGCCAAGCCGGAAUACCACAAGUUCCUCAUCGGCAAAGGGGGCGGCAAAAUCCGCAAGGUGCGCGACAGCACCGGGGCCCGCAUCAUCUUCCCCGCCGCCGAGGACAAGGACCAGGACCUGAUCACCAUCAUAGGCAGGGAGGACGCCGUCCGGGAGGCCCAGCGGGAGCUGGAGGCCCUGAUCCAGAACCUGGACAACGUGGUUGAGGACUUCAUGCUGGUGGACCCCAGGCACCACCGUCACUUUGUCAUCCGACGAGGCCAGGUCCUGCGGGAGAUCGCGGAGGAGUACGGCGGGGUGAUGGUUAGCUUCCCCCGCUCCGGCACGCAGAGCGACAGAGUCACCCUGAAGGGGGCCAAGGACUGCGUGGAGGCGGCCAAGAAGCGCAUUCAGGAGAUCAUCGAGGACCUGGAAGCCCAGGUGACCAUAGAGUGCGCCAUUCCCCAGAAGUUCCAUCGCUCGGUCAUGGGCCCCAAAGGUUCCAGAAUCCAGCAGAUAACUCGCGACCAUAACGUUCAGAUUAAAUUCCCAGACAGAGAGGAGAACCCAGCGCACGGCACGGAGCCAGCCGUCCAGGAGAACGGCGACGACCCCGGGGAGGGGAGAGACGGGAAGGAGGCCGAGCCCGGCUCCCCCAGGAGAUGCGACAUCAUCACCAUCUCCGGCCGGAAGGAGAAGUGCGAGGCCGCCAAGGAGGCCCUUGAGGCCCUGGUUCCCGUCACCAUUGAGGUGGAGGUGCCCCUUGACCUUCACCGGUACAUCAUCGGCCAGAAGGGGAGCGGGAUCCGCAGGAUGAUGGACGAGUUUGAGGUGAAUAUUCACGUCCCGGCCCCCGAGCUGCAGUCAGGCGUCAUCGCCAUCACGGGCCUGGCUGCCAACCUGGACCGGGCCAAGGCUGGGCUGCUGGAGCGGGUGAAGGAGCUGCAGGCGGAGCAGGAAGACCGGGCUUUGCGGAGCUUCAAGCUGAGCGUCACCGUUGACCCCAAGUACCACCCCAAGAUCAUCGGGCGAAAGGGGGCGGUGAUCACCCAGAUCCGCCUGGAGCACGACGUCAACAUCCAGUUUCCUGAUAAGGACGAUGGGAGCCAGCCGCAGGACCACAUCACCAUCACGGGCUACGAGAAGAACACCGAGGCCGCCCGGGACGCCAUCCUCAAGAUCGUGGGGGAGCUCGAGCAGAUGGUUUCUGAGGACGUGCCGCUCGACCACCGCGUCCACGCCCGCAUCAUCGGUGCCCGCGGCAAAGCCAUCCGCAAGAUCAUGGAUGAGUUCAAGGUGGACAUUCGCUUCCCGCAGAGCGGGGCCCCCGACCCCAACUGCGUCACCGUGACGGGGCUGCCGGAGAACGUGGAGGAAGCCAUCGACCACAUCCUCAACCUGGAGGAGGAAUACGUGAGUCCCGGGGGCACCGUGGGCCGGGGGUGGGGGCGGGCGGGGCAGGGGCCCCCGCGGCAAACUGACGCCCACCCACCCGCCUGCCCACGCCCACAGCUGGCCGACGUGGUGGACACCGAGGCGCUGCAGCUGUACAUGAAGCCCCCGGCCCACGAGGAGGCCAAGGCGCCGUCCAGGGGCUUCGUGGUGCGGGACGCCCCCUGGACCGCCAGCAGCAGCGAGAAGGCUCCCGACAUGAGCAGCUCGGAGGAGUUCCCCAGCUUCGGGGCUCAGGUGGCCCCCAAGACCCUCCCCUGGGGCCCCAAACGAUAAUGCUCGACAAGCAGAAACCUCUCCAGCCUGCUGACCUGAACCCGCCACACGAUGGUCCGUCUCAAUCCGACCCAGCGGCUGGACCCUCCGCAAAUUCUUGACGCCCCUUCCCCGAGGUCUCACAGCGAAGCCGGCGUGGCCCGCGCCCUGGCGGCCGGGUCUCAGGCCUGGCCGCCCCCGGCACAGGCUCUGCUCCCGACCUCUGUGCUGGGGUGGCGGCCGCACGAGCCCCGCGGAGGCCCGCGUCAUCCACCCGGCCUGCCCCGGCUCCGGCCUCCCCGGGAGAGCGCUGCAGCUGCGGCCGCGUCCACUUCCUGUGUCACGACCUCAGGAAAUAAAUGUCCUUGACUUU
rnacentral:lncRNA from 1 species